GAUCCUGGCUCAGGAUGAACGCUAGCGACAGGCCUAACACAUGCAAGUCGAGGGGCAGCGGAGAGGUAGCAAUACCUUUGCCGGCGACCGGCGCACGGGUGAGUAACACGUAUGCAAUCCACCUGUAACAGGGGGAUAACCCGGAGAAAUCCGGACUAAUACCCCAUAAUAUGGGCGCUCCGCAUGGGGAGUCCAUUAAAGAGAGCAAUCUUGGUUACAGACGAGCAUGCGCUCCAUUAG
rnacentral:rRNA from 1 species